AACGAACGCUGGCGGCAUGCCUAACACAUGCAAGUCGAACGAAACCUUCGGGUCUAGUGGCGCACGGGUGCGUAACGCGUGGAAACCUGCCCUUAGGUUCGGAAUAACUCCCCGAAAGGGGUGCUAAUACCGGAUAAUGUCUUCGGACCAAAGAUUUAUCGCCUUUGGAUGGGCCCGCGUUGGAUUAGCUAGUUGGUAGGGUAAAAGCCUACCAAGGCGACGAUCCAUAGCUGGUCUGAGAGGAUGAUCAGCCACACUGGGACUGAGACACGGCCCAGACUCCUACGGGAGGCAGCAGUGGGGAAUAUUGGACAAUGGGCGAAAGCCUGAUCCAGCAAUGCCGCGUGAGUGAUGAAGGCCUUAGGGUUGUAAAGCUCUUUUACCCGGGAUGAUAAUGACAGUACCGGGAGAAUAAGCUCCGGCUAACUCCGUG
rnacentral:rRNA from 1 species